CCUCCAUGCUCUGUAAUCUUUGUCAUGGAAGUGGAUUCAAUCUUGGUGUCUGAUUUGAAUAAUUGUAAUCCAGUGCUUUGUGCAAACUCAGAAAAUUCAGCAAGUGCAUGAAAUGGAGUUCAUACAUCCAACCAAUCAGUGAGAAACAGUCCUGGGGAUAGCAAAAUUCUGAGAAGUUUGGCCUGAAUUCUUCAGCCAAUUCAAGGAAGGUAGAAGAUGUCGAUUUGAACCUUCAAAGAUUUACAAGGAUUCAAAAGAUUGUCCUCUGAGGCCAGUUCUGUUGCUAUGA